AUUGAACGCUGGCGGCAGGCCUAACACAUGCCAGUCGAGCGGAUGAAGGGAGCUUGCUCCUGGAUUCAGCGGCGGACGGGUGAGUAAUGCCUAGGAAUCUGCCUGGUAGUGGGGGAUAACGUCCGGAAACGGGCGCUAAUACCGCAUACGUCCUGAGGGAGAAAGUGGGGGAUCUUCGGACCUCACGCUAUCAGAUGAGCCUAGGUCGGAUUAGCUAGUUGGUGGGGUAAAGGCCUACCAAGGCGACGAUCCGUAACUGGUCUGAGAGGAUGAUCAGUCAAACUGGAAAUGAGACACGGUCCCGACUCCUAAGGGGGGGAGCCGUGGGGAAUAUUGGACAAAGGGGGAAAGCCUGAACCAGCCAUGCCGGGUGUGUGAAGAAGGUCUUCGGAUUGUAAAGCACUUUAAGUUGGGAGGAAGGGCAGUAAGUUAAUACCUUGCUGUUUUGACGUUACCAACAGAAUAAGCACCGGCUAACUUCGUG
rnacentral:rRNA from 1 species